rnacentral:tRNA from 1 species
GCCUAGGUGGCUCAGUCAGUUGAGCGUCUGACUUCAGCUCAGGCCAUGAUCUCAUGAUCUGUGGAUUUGAGUCCCACAUCAGGCC